rnacentral:misc_RNA from 1 species
UCAAACUUGGUCAUUUAGAGGAAGUAAAAGUUGUAACAAGGUUUCCAUAGGUGAACCUAUGGAAGGAUCAUUACAAUGAAUUUUCGGAACUUUUAAGUAUUCUUAAACCCCGAGCUGAGCACUUGUACUUGUUGCUUCCAUGGGAAGCGAGCUUCUCACUCGUAUCUGCUAUCAUUGUGGACCCAUGGCAGGUAUCAAUGAAAACCCUGCAUUUGUGGCAAUCGGUCUGAGUAUGUUUGAUAUCAACAUUGAAAACUUUCAACAACGGAUCUCUUGGAUCUCGCAUCGAUGAAGAACGCAGC